AGUCAAUGGUUAUAUUUUUCCUUUGAAUACUUGAGAAGCCCGAAGAAAAUUCAGAUUUUUCACUAAUUUUUCCCUUCACUUUGCUGCUUUGUUCGUCUACUGCGUAUUUCACUUAUUGUUACGAAAAAAGUAAAUAUUUUACGUUUUUCGAAGCAUUAGUUAAAUUUUCUGUUAUACAAUAAAGGAAUAAGCGAAAACGACGUGAUGGCAAUUGAACGAGCAAUUACCAAACUGUGACAAACGAAUGAAGAAAACCCGAACGAAGCAGCGAAUAUGAUGGCGGUUGUGCGGGAAAUUUUUUUGAUGCAGCUUGCAAAUGGCGUCUGCAGACGGGGUGAUUCAUGCGAAAUAAGAAAAUUUUGUAACAAUUUUCAAUUUCUGGAAUUGAAUAUUCUAAAAAACUUUUUAAACAAUUUAAAAUUUAUAUAUGUACAUAUGUGUUUUGAUUUACAAAAACAUAAAGGUUUUUAUUGUGGGCAGAGUUGAUUUUAAAAUAAAGGAAAAGCUCUUAAAAUUAAGGAAAAGUUUAAAAAAAAAAUUGAAAUUGUAAACUUGUUAUCCGAUCUUUCAAGCUCAAAAUUUGUUUUACCUUAAAACAUAGAUUUAAAUUGUCAUAAGAUAAUACCUUAGAAUAUAAUAACUUAAACAAAAGUUCUACAAUUUUUAACUAUCUAAAAAUACAACACUAUGCUAGAUAAUUUUUAAAGGGAUAUUUGAAUACAGAAUGUAUUCAAUAUUUCUUUUUUUUACAAAACUUGUCAAUAAUAAAAACAAAUCAGCUUUUUAAGCUAUAUGAACUUUAAAGUAAAAUGACUACUAGUUCAUAUCAAUCUUAAUGAGAACUUGUUUAAGCAUUCAUCAAAAUGGACAUAAGCAAAGAAACACCUUUAAUUUUGACGUCAAAUAACCACCAUGGAAGGUCAAUUGUCGAAAAAACCGAUAAAAUAAUAGAAAUUGUCGGCUGUUGGGAACCAUUUAAAUAUGCCUUGGUAUAAAAAAACAAAGAUGUAUGGAUGAUAAACGUUAAGGCAAAAAAGACUCAUCAACCCAAUUUCCAUCUGCAAUGUUAUUGAUCGGUAAUAAUUUCAUUAUUGGUGAUGAAAAAUGGGUCACAUCCGACAAUAUCAAACGAAAACAGGCAAAUUCAAAUCUCGGUGAACCGGCGCAAAUGCUGGCCCACUCAGAAUAGACGGUCAGGAAGGUUUUGCUAUGUGUUUGGUGUGCGGUUUGAAGGGAACCAUCUACUAUGAGCUGUGGUCUACGGUAAAACUUUUAAUUAUGAAACUUCCUUUAGAAUAAUUUCAUGUAUAGUUAUAGUACGUCUAUACAUGUUCAUAUUAUUUGUAUUCAUUCAAAUCAACGUAACAUCUUAUAUAUAUAUGCAUAUACCUACAUUAUAUACCCCGUUAUACUGCGUACAAUUUGGUACAUUUAACAACAUUAAACUAAUAAUAUUUAGUAUUUUAA